CCUACGGGAGGCAGCAGUGGGGAAUAUUGGACAAUGGGCGAAAGCCUGAUCCAGCAAUGCCGCGUGAGUGAUGAAGGCCUUCGGGUCGUAAAGCUCUUUUACCAGGGAUGAUAAUGGCAGUACCUGGAGAAUAAGCUCCGGCUAACUCCGUGCCAGCAGCCGCGGUAAUACGGAGGGAGCUAGCGUUGUUCGGAAUUACUGGGCGUAAAGAGUACGUAGGCGGUUAUUCAAGUCAGAGGUGAAAGCCCGGGGCUCAACCCCGGAACUGCCUUUGAAACUAGAUAACUAGAGUCUUGGAGAGGUUAGUGGAAUUCCGAGUGUAGAGGUGAAAUUCGUAGAUAUUCGGAAGAACACCAGUGGCGAAGGCGACUAACUGGACAAGUACUGACGCUGAGGUACGAAAGCGUGGGGAGCAAACAGGAUUAGAUACCCUGGUAGUCCACGCCGUAAACGAUGAUAACUAGUUGUUCGGUCACUUGGUGACUGAGUGACGCAGCUAACGCAUUAAGUUAUCCGCCUGGGGAGUACGGUCGCAAGAUUAAAACUCAAAGGAAUUGACGG
rnacentral:rRNA from 1 species